GAUGAACGCUGGCGGCGUGCCUAAUACAUGCAAGUCGAGCGAACGGACGAGAAGCUUGCUUCUCUGAUGUUAGCGGCGGACGGGUGAGUAACACGUGGAUAACCUACCUAUAAGACUGGGAUAACUUCGGGAAACCGGAGCUAAUACCGGAUAAUAUUUUGAACCGCAUGGUUCAAAAGUGAAAGACGGUCUUGCUGUCACUUAUAGAUGGAUCCGCGCUGCAUUAGCUAGUUGGUAAGGUAACGGCUUACCAAGGCAACGAUGCAUAGCCGGCCUGAGAGGGUGAUCGGCCACACUGGAACUGAGACACGGUCCAGACUCCUACGGGAGGCAGCAGUAGGGAAUCUUCCGCAAAGGGCGAAAGCCUGACGGAGCAACGCCGCGUGAGUGAUGAAGGUCUUCGGAUCGUAAAACUCUGUUAUUAGGGAAGAACAUAUGUGUAAGUAACUGUGCACAUCUUGACGGUACCUAAUCAGAAAGCCACGGCUAACUACGUG
rnacentral:rRNA from 1 species